CUGGCUAUUUUUGGAGACCAGCGAUUAGACUGGAGAGGCUGACAGAUAGGAUAAUGGAAAGUGGGUGGUGGGAGAAAAAGUUGGAAAGUUGAUUUGGGGCAAGAUGAAGAAACUUGAAUGCCACGUCAAAAACCUUUAACAUAAUCUCCUAGUAACGGGGCGCUAACAGCGGUCUUCCAGCUGAAGGGCACCGUCCUCGGAUCUGUAUUUGGAAAGACAACUCUGGUCGCAGUGUGAGAUGUGGAGGAGAGGUGGGGAAAACUGAGAGGGAGGCUUCUGAAAACGGCUAGGCAGGACAUCUGAGCGAGGGCAAUAAGAGGAGCAGGGUUAAGAAGAAGGGAUGGAUUCCGGAGAAUUCUUUAAGUGUCUGUUGUCGACACAGGUGAGCAGUCGUGGACUCUAUUCAACCCAUGGAAAUAUCUCCUGAGAAUACAAGUCACUGGUCCACUUCUGACCCUCUAGUGGCUAGGAUGCGCAGAUGGAAGCUGAGAUUCCCAGGGCUAAUCCAAAAGAGAUCUGCUUCAUUUUUCGGUGGAGAAGCUCUAGAACAGUGUUGACCAAUAGAACUUCUGCUCUGACGGACACAUGCUGUAUCUGUGUUGUUCAAUACACAGGCACUAGCCACACGUGCGUAUUAAACACUUGGAAUGUAGCUCCUGUGACCGAGGAACUGAAUUUUUAAUUUUAUUUAAUUUUAAAUCAUUUCAAUUUAAAUACCUACAUAUGACUAUUGGCUGCUGUAUGGACAGCACAACUUUAGAGAUUGCUGAACUAACAUUCAAGUGUAAGGCAACAUUAAGACUGAUACGGGGCGAAUUGUGUCUCUCCCUGUUUAUGUUUUGAAGUCCUAACCCCCAGGACCUCAGAAUGCGACUGUAUUUGAAUAUAGGACCUUUGAAAGUAAAAUGAGGUCAUCUGAAUGGGCCCUAAUCCAACGUGACUGGUGUCCCUACAAGAAGAGGACAUUAGGACAUAGGCACACAGAGGGGAAGACCAUAUGGAAACACGUGGAGAAGAUGGCCAUCCACGAGACACGGAGAGAGGCCUCAGAAGAAACCAACCCUGCUGACAUCGUGCUCUUGGACUUCUAGCCUCCAGAGUU